rnacentral:rRNA from 1 species
UACGUAGGGUCCAAGCGUUAUCCGGAAUCACUGGGCGUAAAGCGUCCGCAGCCGGCGUGUUAAGUGAGAUGUUAAAUCGUGUGGCUCAACCAUAUCGGUGUAUCUCAUACUGGCAUGCUAGAGGAAAUCAGAGGCAAGUGGAAUUUGUAGUGUAGCAGUGAAAUGCGUAGAUAUCAGGAGGAACACCGGCGGUGUAGACGGCUUUCUGGACCGUAGCUGACGCUGAGACACGAAAGCGUGGGUAGCAAACAGG